rnacentral:rRNA from 1 species
ACCAAAUAGAUACCCAGGUAGUCCACGCCCUAAACGAUGCGAACUGGAUGUUGGGUACAUUACGGUACUCAGUGUCGAAAGCUAACGCGUUAAGUUCGCCGCCUGGGGAGUACGGUCGCAAGACUGAAACUCAAAGGAAUUGACGGGGGCCCGCACAAGCGGUGGAGUAUGUGGUUUAAAUUCGAUGCAACGCGAAGAACCUUACCUGGCCUUGACAUCUGUCGAAUCCUGCAGAGAUGCGGGAGUGCCGCAAGGAACGACAAGACAGGUGCUGCAUGGCUGUCGUCAGCUCGUGUCGUNGAGAUGUUUGGGUUAAGUCCCGCAACGAGCGCAACCCUUGUCCCUAGUUGCCAGCACGUAAUGGUGGGAACUCUAGGGAGACUGCCGGUGACAAACCGGAGGAAGGUGGGGAUGACGUCAAGUCCUCAUGGCCCUUA